UCAGGCCUAACACAUGCAAGUCGAGGGGUAACAGGAGGUAGCAAUACUUUGCUGACGACCGGCGCACGGGUGAGUAACGCGUAUGUAACCUACCUUGUACAGGGAGAUAGCCCGGAGAAAUUCGGAUUAAUAUCCCAUAAUGAUAUUGAGUGGCAUCGCUUGAUAUUUAAAGUUCCGACGGUACAGGAUGGGCAUGCGUGACAUUAGCUAGUUGGUAGGGUAACGGCCUACCAAGGCUGCGAUGUCUAGGGGUCCUGAGAGGGUGAUCCCCCACACUGGUACUGAGACACGGACCAGACUCCUACGGGAGGCAGCAGUGAGGAAUAUUGGUCAAUGGGCGCAAGCCUGAACCAGCCAUCCCGCGUGAAGGAAGAAGGCGCUAUGCGUUGUAAACGUCUUUUUCAGGGGAAGAAAAUCUUUACGAGAGAGGAUGAC
rnacentral:rRNA from 1 species